UAUUUUAUAAUUAUUUUUUUAAUUCUCAAAAUUCAUUCUCUCCCUCUCAUCUCUCAUGUUCUUUCCUUUUCCUCUCUAUUCUCUCUUUUCCUACCAUCUUCUUCUCCUAAUUUCUUAUUAGAAAAAAUAAUGAUGAAUUAUAAAAAGAUUUCCCAAUAGAAAAUGGAGACAAAACUUUCAAUUACUCAUCAAUCGAAAGCUUGUACAAGAUUUUAUAUAUAUAAGAGAGAGAGAAGAAAAAAAUGGACUGCCUGGAUCAACCCAACACUGAAAAUGAUUUUAAGAUAAAAAUUAUUUAGUAAUUUGCAUCGAAUUUUGUUGAAGCAAAGAUCACCAUUUUUAUAACAUGAAUUAUUGGUAGCUAGCAUAGUAAAAAAUGAU
rnacentral:misc_RNA from 1 species